AUGCCCGGUACGUGUAGGCUUGCCAGCAUCAAAGUUUCAAGUGCACAGCUCCUUUUUACCUCUUUUGUGAAAAAAGGCAAAGGCAUUGACAGGGCAGCCAGCCACCACUUCACUGGCCAGGUGGAGCACAGGCUCUUCUCCCCACCUGAGGGACGGACGGACCUGCCUCCAUCAAACGCCUUUCUCUUCUUCCCAAAGCCAAGCUCGAUUGGGCAAAAGGAAAAAACUCAUGCCUGCACAACAUCCAACCCCUCAGCUGCACAUUUUUCCCCGCAGAUGUUUGUUUGUCAUCUUCCUUUAAGACCUUAG
rnacentral:rRNA from 1 species